rnacentral:lncRNA from 1 species
UUUGAUUUGCUGAAAUUGUUUGAAUUUGGACAUGGUGUUAAUGGAGUUGAAACUCACAAUUCAGUGCUAUAGUUAUCAACAACUUGUUUAAAUUCAGUAGCUUAGUCGAUGUGAUCCCACAAGGAUUGAAAAAUUGUACACAAAAUUGGGAAUUUGGAUUCCUUACACCGCUAGGGCUUGGACCAUUUCCUCAGUCUUUAUGGUGCAGGCAUAAUAAUUGGCUUAAAUGGGAACUCUCGUCUCGCG